GGAAGGAUCAUUAACAUUAGUUACUCCCAGGUAGUAGUAGUAGUAGUUCUUCUUCUACUACUACCAAAACAACAUCAAACAAAACAAACCGCUGUGCAACAACAACCCAACAGUUGUUGUUUGUUAGGCGGUUUCCUAUCGUUGAAGAUGAAGAUGAAGAUGAAGACGAAGAAGAAGGAGGAGAAGAAGAAGAAGCUUGCUUCUUCCUCUUCCCCUGCUCUCUGCUCUCUGCUCUCUCUUUAUUUUUACAUACAAACAAAACAAACAAAAACUUCUAUGAUAACUAUACAACAAAACAAACAAAACCAAAACACAACUCCUAACAACGGAUAUCUUGGUUCUCGCGAGGAUGAAGAACGCAGCGAAAUGCGAUACGUAGUGUGAAUCGCAGGGAUCAGUGAAUCAUCGAAUCUUUGAACGCAUAUUGCGCUCUCGGUGUGUUAAUCUCCUCAUCACCGGGAGCACGUCUGCUUGAGUGCCGUUAACCUUUCUAUUUUUCCCCUCCUAACCCUACCCUCUUCUUUGCCCCUAAACAAGCCAAGAAGAGGGAGGGGGAAGGGGGGACGCUCUUCAACUGAUUUUGAGUCAGUUGAGGAGACGGAUCUAAUCAGGGAACUCGCCAGCGUGCCACACGGCGCCUGGCGUUCUCCUCAGAGCAGAGCCCCAUCAUCAUCAUCGCCGCUCCAGCAACGACGACUGGUUGGUUGGUUGGUUGGACAAAUCACCCUUCCUCCUCGACGCUUCUUCGGUCUCUUUCCUGCUGCUGCUGCUGCUUCUGUUCCUCAGCGAUUUACGCGCGCUCAAAUAACUUUCGACCCACACCCGCUGUGACGACGACGACGACUAUGCUGUUGUUGUUAUGCAUAAAAAUGAUGAGGACAUCACGUGCGUCACCGCGCGUGCAUCUCCAAGUUGUAGAUUGUGCAAAUCAGUCACCAGUCAUUUCGUCGUCUUGUUCGCGGCGGCGGUUGGGGGUUGACGAGUUGGUUGGGCUGUGCUGCUGAGUGAGCGAGCGAGUGGGAGGGAGAGGCAGGAUGUGUGUGUGUGAGGAGGAGGAGGUUGGUUUUUCUUUCCCCAUUCAUCUCUUGUUGUCAUCAUUGUUUGUUGGGGGUUUCAGGUGGAUGUGUGAGAAGGGGGGAAAACAAAAAACUACUCUCUCUGUGUGUCUGUCUUCUAUUUUCUUUCUUUCCUUAUAAAGAAAGAAAGAAAGUAGGUAGGUUAACAACAACAACAAAACACAACAACAAAUCUCGGCCUCAAGUCAGGCGACAUUACCCGCCGAAUUUAAGCAUAUUAAUAAGCGGAGGAAAAGAAACCAACAGGGAUUCCCUUAGUAGCGGCGAGCGAAGCGGGAGGAGCCCAAGCUCUGAAUCUGAGUGCCGAUCAGUAGGCAUUCCGAAUUGUGGUCUCUUAAGGGAAAAGUCGGGCGGUGGUCGUAAAAAAACUACUGUCAGGCUUUUUUCCUCAAAGGCGAGCCAUCGCUGGAACAGCGCCCCGGACAAAAGUCUCUUGGAACAGUGUGCCAGGGAGGGUGACAGCCCCGUUCAUUGGUCCGGCGCCAUGCGCAGUUCCGUUUGUGCCGUUGGUUCGCCCCAGAGUCGGGUUGUUUGGGAAUGCAGCCCUAAGCGGGUGGUAAAUCCCACCCAAGGCUAAAUAAUCAGCGAGAGACCGAUAGCGAACAAGUACCGUGAGGGAAAGAUGAAACAGGACUUUGAAAAGAGAGUCAAAAGUGCUUGAAAUUGUUAGGAGGGAAGCGAUCGGCGUCGGCAGAUCUCUUUUUUUGGCUCAACCCCAAAAAGGAAUCUCUUCGCCGCCUUGGCCGUUCAGCAUAUGUGUUGAUCCGCAGCGCAGGGUGUUUUUUCUCCCAGAAGUUGGUCAAACAACCUUGGGCGCUCCUGCACUGAUCGAAGGUCACACGUGUGUGCACUCGGCCUUGUGCGGUGAGCCAGCAUCAGCUCCAAUAAUCUAGGCGAUGGACAGCUUGUCUGAGUCAUGGCCCCAGGAGAGGGCGCGGGGGGCCGGCCUCACGGUCGAGUUCUCCCCGUAGCGAUCCUGGGUGUCCGAGUCAAUCGCUGGGGCUGAGGAAAAUCAAGCGCAUGCGCUUCAUUGCGCGAGGCUACACGCUGUCGGGGCGUGCCAGCAUGUGUGGAUCGGGAACCGAUGCACGUGUGUGCUUUUGGCGUGUCCCUUGCGGCGUGCAACCCAUCUCUGAGUGCGCUAGAGAUGCUGGCGGAACGGCGCUGACCGUCCCGUCUUGAAACACGGACCAAGGAGUCUAACACGUGCGCGAGUGCCCGGGUGGCAAACCCCGGCGCGGAGUGAAAGCAGAGGACAACGUUAUGGUUUGUCUGAGGUGAGAAGGGUAGGCCACCAAUUCAUUUUGGUGGUCGCAUCCUGCAUCACCGGCCGACCUGGAUUUUUUUGAAAGGUUCGAGCGAGAGCGUGCUUGUUGGGACCCGAAAGAUUGUGAACUAUGGGUGACCAGGAUGAAGCCAGAGGAAACUCUGGUGGAGGUCCGAAGCGAUACUGACGUGCAAAUCGUUCGUCUGAGUUGCCUAUAGGGGCGAAAGACUAAUCGAACAAUCUAGUAGCUGGUUCCCUC
rnacentral:misc_RNA from 1 species